AAGUCGUAACAAGGUAUCUGUAGGUGAACCUGCAGAUGGAUCAUUUCAAUGAAAACCUUUUUCGUGAGGUGUGGCUCGCACCUGUCUAACUAAACUGAGCUACCAUUUUCAACACGGUUGCACGGGUAGGCCUGUCGAUUAGUGCGAACGCGCUAGGAGACGGGUUUACCACUCAACACAAACACUUUUGAUGAUCUAGGAUUUGAAGGAAAUUCAUUUUACGAUGGAACCGACUGGUAAUGCGGUCGUCUAAAUCUAAAAAAUAACUUUUGGCAACGGAUCUCUUGGUUCUCC
rnacentral:misc_RNA from 1 species